UGACGCUGGCGGCAUGCUUACACAUGCAAGUCGAACGGCAGCGCGGGGCACUGGCGGCGAGUGGCGAACGGGUGAGUAAUAUAUCGGAACGUACCCUGGAGUGGGGGAUAACGUAGCGAAAGUUACGCUAAUACCGCAUACGAUCUAAGGAUGAAAGUGGGGGAUGCGCAAGCACCUCAUGCUCCUGGAGCGGCGAUAUCUGAUUAGCUAGUUGGUGGGGUAAAGGCCUACCAAGGCAUCGAUCAGUAGCUGGUCUGAGAGGACGACCAGCCACACUGGAACUGAGACACGGUCCAGACUCCUACGGGAGGCAGCAGUGGGGAAUUUUGGACAAUGGGCGAAAGCCUGAUCCAGCAAUGCCGCGUGAGUGAAGAAGGCCUUCGGGUUGUAAAGCUCUUUUGUCAGGGAAGAAACGGUGAAGGCUAAUAUCCUUUGCUAAUGACGGUACCAGAGGAAUAAGCACCGGCUAACUCCGUGCCAGCAGCCGCGGUAAUACGGAGGGUGCAAGCGUUAUCCGGAUUCACUGGGUUUAAAGGGUGCGUAGUGGGCAGGUAAGUCAGUGGUGAAAUCUUUGGGCUUAACCCGAGAACUGCCAUUGAUACUAUUUGUCUUGAAAUAUUGUGGAGGUC
rnacentral:rRNA from 1 species